ACCUACGGGGCGCAGCAGUAGGGAAUCUUCCACAAUGGACGAAAGUCUGAUGGAGCAACGCCGCGUAUAGGAAGAAGGUUUUCGGAUUGUAAACUAUUGUCGUGAGGGAAGAAAUUGACAGUACCUCAGGAGGAAGCUCCGGCUAACUAUGUGCCAGCAGCCGCGGUAAUACAUAGGGAGCAAGCGUUAUCCGGAUUUAUUGGGUGUAAAGGGUGCGUAGACGGGAAAUUAAGUUAGUUGUGAAAUCCCUCGGCUUAACUGAGGAACUGCAACUAAAACUGGUUUUCUUGAGUACUGGAGAGGAA
rnacentral:rRNA from 1 species